rnacentral:rRNA from 1 species
UAGGGAAUAUUGCUUAAUGUGCGAAAGCGCGAAGCAGCAACGCCGCGUGUGCGAUGAAGGCCUUCGGGUCGUAAAGCACUUUUUAGAGGGAUGAGAAAGGACAGUACCUCUAGAAUAAGCCUCGGCUAACUACGUGCCAGCAGCCGCGGUAAAACGUAGGAGGCGAGCGUUAUCCGGAAUUACUGGGCGUAAAGCGCGUGCAGGCGGUUCGGUUAGUUGGAUGUGAAAGCUCCUGGCUUAACUGGGAGAGGUCGUUCAAUACUGCCGGACUUGAGAGUGGUAGAGGGAGAUGGAAUUCCGCAUGUAGUGGUGAAAUGCGUAGAUAUGCGGAGGAACACCAGUGGCGAAAGCGGUCUCCUGGCCCACUUCUGACGCUCAGACGCGAAAGCUAGGGUAGCAA